GCACUGCUGAGGAGUCCCACAAUAAGACGAAGUAGCUGUCCAGUGC
rfam:Schistosoma curassoni strain Dakar, Senegal genome assembly, scaffold: SCTD_scaffold0006016